rnacentral:misc_RNA from 1 species
GGAGUAAAAGUCGUAACAAGGUUUCCGUAGGUGAACCCGCGGAAGGAUCAUUAUUGUAUAACCGAGGUGCGAGGGCUGUCGCUGACCCGAAAGGUCGUGCACGCCCGAGUGCCCUCACACACAUCCAUCUCACCCCUAUGUGCACCACCGCGUGGGUCCCCCUUUGGCUUGUUCGGAGGGGGGCUUACGUUUUCACACAAACUUUGUAUGCAGUGUAGAAUGUAUUUUUUGUUUUUGCGAUCACGCAAUCAAUACAACUUUCAACAACGGAUCUCUUGGCUCUC